AAAAUCCAUUAUCAAUUGUGAAGUUAUAGUAUAGAGAU
rnacentral:guide_RNA from 1 species